rnacentral:rRNA from 1 species
AGCGGAGGAAAAGAAACUAACAAGGAUUCCCCUAGUAACGGCGAGUGAAGCGGGAAGAGCUCAAAUUUGUAAUCUGGCACUUUCAGUGUCCGAGUUGUAAUCUCGAGAAGUGUUUUCCGCGCCGGACCGCAUACAAGUCUGUUGGAAUACAGCGUCAUAGUGGUGAGAACCCCGUAACUGAUGCGGAUGCCCGGUGCUUUGUGAUACACUUUCGAAGAGUCGAGUUGUUUGGGAAUGCAGCUCAAAUUGGGUGGUAAAUUCCAUCUAAAGCUAAAUAUUGGCGAGAGACCGAUAGCGAACAAGUACCGUGAGGGAAAGAUGAAAAGCACUUUGGAAAGAGAGUUAACAGUACGUGAAAUUGUUGGAAGGGAAACGAUUGAAGUCAGACUUGUUAUCUGGAGUUCAGCCUUUCGGUGUACUCUCCAGUUUACAGGCCAGCAUCAGUUUUCGGGGCGGGAAAAUCGUAAUUAGAAGGUAGCAGCCUAGCUGUGUUAUAGCUUUUUACUGGAUUCCGCUUUGGGGACUGAGGAACGCAGUGUGCUUUUAGCAAUACCCUCGGGUAUUUCACACUUAGGAUGCUGGUGGAAUGGCUUUAAACGACCCGUCUUGAAA